rnacentral:rRNA from 1 species
GUGGGGAAUCUUGGACAAUGGGCGCAAGCCUGAUCCAGCCAUGCCGCGUGAGUGAUGAAGGCCUUAGGGUUGUAAAGCUCUUUUGUCGGGGACGAUAAUGACGGUACCCGAAGAAUAAGCUCCGGCUAACUUCGUGCCAGCAGCCGCGGUAAUACGAAGGGAGCUAGCGUUGUUCGGAAUCACUGGGCGUAAAGCGCACGUAGGCGGAUUUGUUAGUGAGGGGUGAAAUCCCGGGGCUCAACCUCGGAACUGCCUUUCAUACUGCAGAUCUCGAGUCCGAUAGAGGUGGGUGGAAUUCCUAGUGUAGAGGUGAAAUUCGUAGAUAUUAGGAAGAACACCGGUGGCGAAGGCGGCCCACUGGAUCGGUACUGACGCUGAGGUGCGAAAGCGUGGGGAGCAAACAGGAUUAGAUACCCGAGUAGUCC